rnacentral:snRNA from 1 species
UUGCUUGCUUUGGCAGCACGUAUACUAGAAUCGGAAUGAUACAGAGAGGGUUAGCAUGGCCCCUGUGCAAGGAUAACACACAAAUACAUGACCCAUUACAUAUUUUU